AUGGCCAUCGCGGACCAGCUGCUGGAGUUGAUGUUCUCCUGGAUCGAUCAGAGGGAGUGCUGUGCAGAGCAGCUGAGGAAACUGGCCAAAGAGCUGGAGUCAUGCAGAAAGAAUUGUAAUAUCAGUGAAUGUGUUGGAACCACAGUGUCAGUGGCUGGAUCUGCAUGUAUGAUCGCAGCCGGUGUGGCCACUUUGUUCACCGGCGGUGCAGCUGCUCCACUUUUAGGUAUGGCAGGAGCAGUGUGUACAGGUGCAGGUGCCACUGUAUCUGUGGGUACUAAAAUCAUUGAGGGCUUCAAAUCCAGUGACACCAUUAAAGAGGCGCAAGAGAUAGAAAAGAAGAGCAACGAGGUUGCAGAAGAAAUACAGAAGCUGUUUGAACAACUGAAGGUGGAGAGUUUCUCCACAGACCCAAAUAAACAGGACCGACACGUCAUGACUGAAAUUCUGAAAGCCAUAGCCAGGCGAAGUGGACUGAAGGGGAGGAUUCGGAUCCGCAGGCUUGAUAAAGAGCUACAGAUUCUUUUCGACAAAGAACAGUCAAACGAGAGGCUCAACCAGAGCUUCUUGAACCCUGAAGUAAUGGUUUCACUUGGUGGAAUUUUAGCAUUUUUUGCACUUCAGCUUCGUGGAAAAACAUUGAAACGUUUCUUGGCUAAAGGAGCUGAGCAACUGAUCAAACAUACAUGCAAAGGUAGUGCUCUAGGAACUGACCAGUUCAUCAAAACUGGUGCCAAAGGAGCUAAAAAUAUCAUCAAACAAAUGUCUUCAAAAGCCCUAAAAGGAGGUGUCAUGGUUGUAGGAGGAGCUGUUGGUCUGGCGUUUGAACUUCCUGAGGCGAUUGACAACUGGACAGACCUGAUCAAGAAGAAUCAUGUGACUGAAGCGAGCCAAUCACUGAGAGAUACAGCUGACGCCAUUCUAGAGAUCACUGGGAUGCUGGGGGAACAGUUCAACAUAAUCAAGCAAAUCUUUGACGAGAUGGUGAAACGUCACGAGGAAAAGGCUUCCAGACGGAAAAGACUGAUGUGCUGCUUGUGCUGCUGGUUGUAGGAGGAGCUGUUGGACUGGCGUUUGAACUUCCUGAGGCGAUUGACAACUGGAAAGACCAGAUCAAGAAUAAUCAUGUGACUGAAGCGAGCCAAUCACUGAGAGAUACAGCUAAGGCCAUUGAAAAGAUCUGCCAGACACUGAGGGAACAGUUCGACAACAUGAAGUAAGAAGUUUUCUGUGAUUCUCCACCCAGAUUCUCUCCUCCUGUAGAUCUGAGAACAGCAGCUGGACUCAUUUAGUUUAGAUUCAUGUGACUUCAAAUCCUGACUGCUUGUCCUGCUGGAAAACCCAUCCAAAGAAACUUUACCUUACUGUCCACCUGUAUAGUCAGACCACUGACUUUACAGGUGGACACCGAUACAGACUGUAUCAGAUACUGACCGUAUCAGGAUAUUCUGGCUUCAUUUUUGUACAGUGGGAGAAAGUGGAGAUGCCCAUCCUUUAUAUGUCGAUGAGUCAUACUCAUACAUACUCAUAUUUUUCCUAGAAUAUGGAUAAAUCUGUAGCAUGACAGACGAAAAGUCCUCAAAAUGACAAAUAAUCACUUCCAGACUCUGAAGCUAACAACAUGCUCGCAAGCAAAUUCACAGAUUGUUUCAUUGGACACAUUUUGACAGGGGAUGGAACGGUUGACAACAUUCAGGUUCAUAUUGCUGCUUUCAGUUGGGUUCUGUGUGUUUUUGGGACAACACUGUCAAAUCUUAAAGGUCCAGUGUGUAGGAUGAACCGAACAAUACAUAGUCCGACCUGUGACCUACAAACUGACAACAUUCUAUCUCUAAUUUUGAUACAGGUCAUUACUUCCCAACAUUUACAUCAACAUUAUUUCAGGGUGAAAUCUGUUUGCUUGCAACCACUGAUGGUGAUUUAUGCUAACUGUCUGUUCACUUGUUUUAUUCACAGAAAGAUAUUAGAAGAGGAGAAGGCUAAAAGACGACGGGAAGAAGAGGAGAAGGCUAAAAGACAACGAGAAGAAGAGGAGAAAGCUAAAAGACAACGAGAAGAAGAGGAGAAAGCUAAAAGACAAUGGGAAGAAGGUGAUCAAACUGUGCAGACCAGAAGUGGGCAAGAGAGAGAAAGUCAUCAAAAUGAAGAGACCGGAAGUGGUCAGCAGGGAGGGGGUGGUCAGGGAGAUAAGGAGAGUGGUGGUGAAGAUGAGGCGAAUGAUCAGGAGGAUGAGGAGACUGAGGAAGAGACAGAGGAAGAUGAAAGCAAGCACUGGUAGAAAAAGGACAAAGCGCCAUCGAAAGAAGGGCACUCGAAGUAAACAAAGAGGAGACAGUGAGGAAGUGGUCAGACAGUGUAAGGAUAGUUGGAUAGACCAAGAGCAGAGAACUAUCCAGACACCUCCUGGAACAAUAAGAGUGGGGUUACUUAAUGUUCGCUCAAUGAAUAAGAAACGAUCCCCUGGUAAAAAAAACAGGAUCUUAAAGCUCAUACCAAAAAACAACCUGGACAUCUUUCUUACAACAGAGACGUGGUUACGAGAAGACAAUGCAGACAGAGUCCUCAGGGAGGCUUCACCACAGAAUUACAAUUAUCAUUAUCAGGUGAGGGUUGGUCAAAGGGGUGGAGGGGUAGCAAUUCAGUUCUCACAGGAGCUGCAGGGUGAAAACCUUCCUUUUGACUCCUUAACAACCUUAGAAUGUGUUGUCACAGUUCUGCAUCAUGAUGAGUGGAACCAGCCGGUCCCUGUCAUCAAUGUGUAUCACCCACCGGGGUACAACAGGGACCAGUUCCGUACAUUUCUGGAUGAGAUUGAAACGCUCUUGGCUCAUUUCAACAACUACAACAGCAUCAUUGUGACCGGAGAUUUCAAUAUCUGGGUCGAUCAGGAAAGAAGGUCUUUCACUGAUGAGUUUUAUUAUAUUUGGCCGAUCUACGACCUCGAGCAGCAUGUACAGGAGCCAACACACCGGGCAGGUCACACUCUGGAUCUCGUCCUCACCAGAAAUGUUGAUAUCCCUGAUCUCAAAGUCCAAGAUGAUGGAAUAUCAGAUCAUUCACAGUAUAUUUCAAUGCAAAGCCAGCGUCAAAGGAGAGGAAGGAGAAAACUAAAGAAAACAAGGAUCAAGACGAGCAGCCAAAACGACUGAAAAAGAACAGAGAAUAAAAAACAUUUCAGUAUUUUUACACUUCUUUAUUAGUUCUCUGCAAUAAUAAUCGUAUGGAUGCGUGAUCUGCCAUUUGCUAGCUAAUUGAUGCUAUUAGCCAUAUUGUGGAGGAUGUGUAGUUGAGGCCUUAUUGUUGUAUGUAAACCACCUGGUCUGGAUUUUACAGAAGCUGUUGGAUGUAAAAAAAAAAAAACUUUUAAAGUUUGAGUAUAUGUUGAUAUGAAUUUGCUACACAUUCGUACAUCAGUUAGAUUCUCCACAGUUCAAUCUUUCACUUCAGUUUACAGGAACCAUCAAAUCUGUGAUCGGUGAUUGAUAAUGUUGUUCAAUACAAGUUUCAGUUACUAAUAUAGUAUUCUUACUGGUUUAAAUAAACAGUAUUUCCAUUUUUGCUGAGCAAAAGGAAUUAAAGGCCUGUCCCAUAUAGAGGAAGGUUGAGUUCAGUGACUGAAGCAAAUAAAAGCCCUGGAUAUGAACUGAAGUUUCUGGUUCUGUUCGCUUUGUAUUAUAAAACCAUAUGUGAGUCAUUUCUAAUAGAAAUGUGAUGUAGCCUGUGAGUGUAAGGAAUGUAACAGCUUGUAAUAUAGAUUGUACUAAUUAUGGUCAUUUAUCUUUGUUCCCCUUUUCUACGAUCAAUAAAUAACCAAAAGGAACUUUUGUCUGGAGUGCUUUCUGAGCGAUGCCCCCUGGUGGCCACAACAAUAAUGAACCAGUCAGAUCAAACAGUCCUUGUCAUUCACCAAAACAGGA
rnacentral:lncRNA from 15 species